rnacentral:rRNA from 1 species
AUUGAACGCUGGCGGCAGGCCUAACACAUGCAAGUCGAGCGAGCGGCGGACGGGUGAGUAAUGUCUGGGAAACUGCCGGAUGGAGGGGGAUAACUACUGGAAACGGUAGCUAAUACCGCAUACCAUCAGAUGUGCCCAGAUUGGAUUAGCUAGGAGGUGGGGUAAUGGCUCACCUAGGCGACGAUCCCUAGCUGGUCUGAGAGGAUGACCAGCCAAACGGGAACUGUGACACGGUCCAGACUCCUAGGGAGGGUGGCGGUGGGGAAUAUUGCACAAUGGGCGAAAGCCUGAUGCAGACAUGCCGCGUGGGUGAAGAAGGCCUUCGGGUUGUAAAGCACUUUCAGCGGGGAGGCGUUACCCGCAGAAGAAGCACCGGCUAACUCCGUGCCAGCAGCCGCGGUAAUUC